UGGUUAGUUUGUGCAAUUCGUGUCACAUCUAUGGUUGAAAAUUUGAUAUUAUUUGUAUUAUUGGGUGUACUAAGUUUAUACAAAAUUUCAUGAUCAUCUAACGGUGUGGUUUAGAGAUAUCUUGUUUUUAGCACAAGAAGAUUUCAGAAGGUGGCAGUUUGAGGUUGGCUAGGGUUUCUAAGAUAUCUGAAGAUCUAUUUGUCGGAUUAAGGUGAAAAUUGGCAUGGUGUUGAAGGACUUGAAGAUCAAGCUACACACCAAUUUUGAGACAAAGUUAACGGUUG
rnacentral:lncRNA from 1 species